CGUGUGCUCCACAAGGAGCACGUUUUGCACUAACACCACAAGAGUCUGGCUCAAUGAAUGGGGAUUGAUAGUAGUUUAAAUGU
ensembl:snoRNA SNORA62 Small nucleolar RNA SNORA62/SNORA6 family